rnacentral:lncRNA from 1 species
UCUCCAACUGGUCCAUGUCAACCACCCCAUCUGUUUCAAAACCAUAACAGUAAUUACCAUUUUUCUCAUUCUUGUUUAGAACUUUAGUGUCAAUCGAAGCCUCAGCUUCAGCAGUAGCUAAGUUUUGGAAAGAUACACGAUCUUCUUCAACCUUUAACUUUGAGAUUUGAUACUGGUUAGGUUCAACGGACAUAGUAUUUGAGGGAACAACUGAUAGAUGAACAACUAAUCACCUAUUGGAAGAAGAAGGCAGAGUUGUAGAAAUUGGCUGAUUAAAUACAGGCUCUGUGGGAGCAGGAAGAAGAGAAUUCUUCCCUUAAUCUGUCAUUUUUUUCUUUCUUUUAGACUCCGCA